AUUGAACGCUGGCGGAAUGCUUUACACAUGCAAGUCGAACGGCAGCACGGACUUCGGUCUGGUGGCGAGUGGCGAACGGGUGAGUAAUAUAUCGGAACGUGCCCAGUCGUGGGGGAGUAACGUAGUGAAAUUACGCUAAUACCGCAUACGAUCUAAGGAUGAAAGCGGGGGAGUCGCAAGACCUCGCGCGAUUGGAGCGGCCGAUAUCAGAUUAGGUAGUUGGUGAGGUAAAGGCUCACCAAGCCAACGAUCUGUAGCUGGUCUGAGAGGACGACCAGCCACACUGGGACUGAGACACGGCCCAGACUCCUACGGGAGGCAGCAGUGGGGAAGUAUUGGACAAUGGGCGAAAGCCUGAUCCAGCAAUGCCGCGUGAGUGAAGAAGGCCUCGGUUGUAAG
rnacentral:rRNA from 1 species